rnacentral:rRNA from 1 species
AGUGAACGCUGGCGGUAGGCCUAACACAUGCAAGUCGAACGGCAGCACAGUAAUAGCUUGCUCUUACGGGUGGCGAGUGGCGGACGGGUGAGGAAUACAUCGUAAUCUACUUUUUCGUGGGGGAUAACGUAGGGAAACUUACGCUAAUACCGCAUACGACCUACGGGUGACAGCAGGGGAUCUUCGGACCUUGCGCGAUUGAAUGAGCCGAUGUCGGAUUAGCUAGUUGGCGGGGUAAAGGCCCACCAAGGCGACGAUCCGUAGCUGGUCUGAGAGGAUGAUCAGCCACACUGGAACUGAGACACGGUCCAGACUCCUACGGGAGGCAGCAGUGGGGAAUAUUGGACAAUGGGCGCAAGCCUGAUCCAGCCAUACCGCGUGGGUGAAGAAGGCCUUCGGGUUGUAAAGCCCUUUUGCUGGGAAAGAAAAGCAGCAGGUUAAUACCCCGCUGUUCUGACGGUACCCAAAGAAUAAGCACCGGCUAACUUCGUG